rnacentral:rRNA from 1 species
UACGGGGGGAGCAAGCGUUGUUCGGAUUUACUGGGCGUAAAGGGCUCGUAGGCGGCCAACUAAGUCACACGUGAAAUCCCUCGGCUCAACCGGGGAACUGCGUGUGAGACUGGAUGGCUUGAGUUUGGGAGAGGAAUGCGGAAUUCCAGGUGUAGCGGUGAAAUGCGUAGAUAUCUGGAGGAACACCGGUGGCGAAGGCGGCAUUCUGGACCAACACUGACGCUGAGGAGCGAAAGCCAGGGGAGCAAACGGG